GAUAGGAAGUUGAUCUCCUGUGACAUGUACUACCCCUCUUGGCUGCCAAGGUUGCAUUGGCCCAUCUGGCAGGCUCAAGGGUGUCCCCUUCCUCCCCCACCCACCAGGUGAGACUUUCCUGAAACCAAGCCAGAGGGGCUGACCUUCUCAGCUUGAGGGAAAUGGUGUAGGGCUAACUGCGCUGCUCUGGCAGAAGAGCUAAAGGAUUUCUCAGAAUUCUUAUCUGCCCUGCCAGGAGUUAGUGAGACAGAGAUGGAUCUGGGCUUGUCAUUUCCGGGUCU
rnacentral:sRNA from 1 species